AGUGCCAUAACAGCCAUAGCAGAAGUGUUCAUGUCACAGCCCCUGUCAGAUUUAAAUGAAUCUGCCCAAUUCUGCC
rnacentral:lncRNA from 1 species